rnacentral:rRNA from 1 species
UACGUAGGCAGCGAGCGUUGUUCGGAGUUACUGGGCGUAAAGGGUGUGUAGGCGGUUGUUUAAGUUUGGUGUGAAAGCCCCCGGCUCAACUGGGGAGGGUCACGCGAUACUGAUCGACUGGAAGGCAGGAGAGGGUAGUGGAAUUCCCGGUGUAGUGGUGAAAUGCGUAGAUAUCGGGAGGAACACCAGUGGCGAAGGCGACUACCUGGCCUGUUCUUGACGCUGAGGCGCGAAAGCUAGGGUAGCAAAUGGG